UUAAAUUAAAUAAUAUUCAGAAAAAAAAAAUUUUUUAAUUGCAAUUACAGUUGUUAUAAGAUAAGAAAAGUUACUACAACAAAAUUAUCUUUUAGCGGCAAUUUAAUAACUUCAAUUAUUAAAUAGCCGUUAUUAUCGAUUACCAAUUUAUAUUUUAGCGGCAAUUACUUUAAACUAUAUAUAUUUUUUUACCGACUAAUAGUUAUACUAAAUACAUCUAUUUUGAAUCCAUUACUACUCUAACCCUAACCCUAACUUGAACCAUUCUCAUAGGAGUAUCCUGCACCUUCUCUCCCUUCCCCAUGCCUCUCCCCCAUCCCGAGCUCGACCUCUCCCCUUCUCCUUCACCUCCCCUCUCUCCUCCCUCUUCCUAU
rnacentral:lncRNA from 1 species